UUCCCGUCCUUUUCCCUUCUAGGGUUGCACGCUCUGGUUCCCAAGCCCCCGGCCGCUGGCUUAUGCAAAUCACUUAGAAAUUGGAUCUCCUAAAUUGGAUGACCUGGAAAGUAGAACUUCCCUCCAGCGUUCAGUUAAGUUUCAAAUGACUCUCCGCUGUUCCAAAGGGCGAGGACGUCUGGAGCUCUGCAAACGGAAAAAAGAUUUUGAAGAGGAGGAAAAAAGUUUUUCCCUCGAUGUGACACACAUCUUUGGGUUUUAGCUAUACACUAAGUUAAAAGUGUACUCUCUCCAGUGCCUCACCUCACCUGGGAUCUUUACACCUCUCUUGAUACACAUUUGGUAGCUAAGUCUUAGCAAUUCAUUCUCCCCAGUCCUCUCUCUAUAUUUGGUGUUUUUGGUGACUGCAAAUCAGACUCCUUUCUCACUCACUUUAAAAUCCUGAAACACAGGAAUUUUGUAAAAGGUCAGAGAAAGUGAUGUUUCUGAACAAUGGACAAUUUCCAAAACAUCUGAGUGGGAGGUGACUGCGGCUGAGAAGCCAGCAGCAACGUUGGUGUUAGGUAAUUAUCAGCAUUCUCUCCUCUUCUGGAUUUUGAGUCCCUGUAGCCUAAUAGACCCCACGGAAUCAUUACCUGUACCAACUACUGCUUUAGGGGUACUUCCUUUCUUGCUCUCUGCUAUGACGUUGAGUUGUUUUACUCUAUAAUGGAGACAUUUUUAAUGAAUACAUUAAAACAAGCAGUAUUCGGCCGGGCGCGGUGGCUCACACCUGUAAUCCCAACACUUUGGGAGGCCGCGGCGGGUGGAUCACCUGAGAUUGGGAGUUCUAGACCACCCUGACCAACAUGGAGAAACCCCGUCUCUACUAAAAAUAGAAAAUUAGCCGAGUGUGGUGGCAGAUGCCUGUAAUCCCAGCUACUCGGGAGGCUGAGGCAGACGAAUUGCUUGAGCCCGGGAGGUGGAGGUUGCGGUGAGCUGGAGAUCACACCAUUGCAGUCCAGCCUGGGCAACAAGAGCAAAACUCUUCUCAAAAAAAAAAAAAAAAAAAAAAAGAUUUUAAAAUAAUUAUCAUAUAAAGUUGACUAGCCAUCGUAUGUAAAUAAAACUUAGGACAAUGGAAACAGGUUGAUGCAGACCUAUAAGUUUAAAAUGAAAAAAUUCUAUCAUCUUUGUAUUUGGGAGUUUAUCUAAAAGAUAAUGUCAGGUUGGGCACAUAAGUCACAUACAGUAAAUCUAUCUAGAAGCUAGAGAGUUAAUAAAUACACAUAUGCCUUCAUUUCAAGUUUUAUCUCCUCUCACUGCAGGGCUGAAAGACAAGUUAAAGACCCCCAGAAAACUCUGGUUUUAUAGAUAAGAAAUCUGAGGCUCGAGAGAGAGUGUGCUCUGCCCAACAUCUUCACGGAACAGCUCCUAGGCUCCUGGCUCCUAAUCUGGUGCUCUUAGGGCCUUCCCUAGAUUGGCUUUCAUCGUCUAAAUAAUUUCCAUUAUUUUCUAGCAACUUUCAUAAACAAAUGAAGUAAGGAAGAAAUUGUAAAGUUAGUUUCUGUAAUUGUUUCUUUAAGAUGUCCUUUUUUUUUUUUUUUUUUUGAGACAGAGUCUCACUCACUGUGUCCAGUGGCACAAUCUUGGCUCACUGCAACCUCCACCUCCCGGGUUCAAGUGAUUCUCCUGCCUCAGCCUCCCCAGUAGCUGGUAUUACAGGUGCCCACCACCAUGUUUAGCUACUUUUUUUUUUUUUUUUUUUUAGCAGAGAUGGGGUUUCUCAUGUUGGCCAGGUUGGCCUCGAACUCCUCACCUCAAGUGAUCCACCUGCCUUGGCCUCCCAAAGUGCUGGGAUUACAGUCAUGAGCCACGGAGCCCGGCUUAUAGGCAAAUCUUGAUUAAAAAUGCAGAAUGAUUUAGUAGGCCUAAGUGGGGCCCAGAAGCCAGCAUUUUGUUGCACAGCAAGUGAAAGUGACGCAGGUGAUUCAUGAACCACACUUGGAGAACUUUAUUCUUUGUCUUCAAAUAAUAAAAUCUUAUGGCUGAAAACUUAGGUGAAAGGAGAGAUUUAGAUUUUGAAAAAAGGGGAGAUGCAGAUUUUACUAAAAAAUAAAUUCCUAUUGUCUAUUAGAUGACAAAUGUAAGAAAGGAAGAUUCAAAUUUGCAGCUUAGCCAAGAAGAUGAAAGAUCAGGAACAAAAGACUUGGGUAGGGAACAGAAAAGAUAAGCUAUAUUAAAGUGUUUGUAUUUCUUAUUUGGUACAUUUUGUAUGCUUUGCAUUAGAGAUAAAUUGGUCAAUUAGUCUCCAUCUCUUGGAUAAGAUGUCCCAAGAGAGUAUAAAGACAAAACAAAAAACCAAUGAUUAAGGUAAUAGCUCAGAUAACUAGAGAAAAAUGAUCAGCUCUUAAAUCAUAGGGACUGGAAAGAUAACUGAGAUAAACCAAAUGUAAAUUGAUGGCAAGCAAAAAAUAAUAGGGUCUCUGUCUACAGACCAGUUCCUCUUAAAGUUUUCAUUGGUUGUAUAUAAGUAAAUUUGCGGCAUCCACAGGCUUGAUAAAAAAUAGAACUGGGCUGCAACCCCUCUGCAUAUGUGGCAUGAAGCUUAUGGGCCAUGAAGAAAGUACCCUAUCGUAGUGAUGCUCGCCUUGGUGUCUUUGUGCAGAGCACAUAGGACUUGUUGACUGAUGGAUAAGCUGGACUUCAGUUCUAUCACCCCUUUACCCAAGAACUCUUGUAAACAUAGAACCUGAACAAGUAUAUGCAGAGGCCCUACCUGUUGGGUGAACGGUUCAAGGUGCCCUGUUACAACAACAGCUCAGAGACAGUGGGGGCUCUGAGUGCUGUAAUGAUUGAUUGGAUAAAAGUCCUCAGACAUGUAGAAUUUCACUUUUUAUGAACUAUUUCGACUUAGAAAAAGAGUUAACAGCAAUCAGCUUAAGAAAUGUUACAAAUGUAGUUGAAGCUCCCUUUGUACCACUCCCCAAUCAUAUUCCUUUUCUUCCUCUCCCUGAGAAGUAAGCACUUUCCUAAACUUUGUAGUUAAUUCCCAUGCAUAUUUUAAUGCUUUUCAUAUGCAUGUAUCCCUAAACAAUAAACAGCAUUGUUUUUCAUAUAUAAAUCAACAUCAUUGCA